UACAUGGGGGAAACCCUGAUGCAGCAACGCCGCGUGAGUGAUGACGGUCUUCGGAUUGUAAAGCUCUGUCUUCAGGGACGAUAAUGACGGUACCUGAGGAGGAAGCCACGGCUAACUACGUGCCAGCAGCCGCGGUAACUA
rnacentral:rRNA from 1 species